rnacentral:rRNA from 1 species
ACCGUAAGGGUAAAAAAAUUUUAGUUUUAAUUAUGAGGAUUAAAGAUGAGAAGAGAAGUUUCCUUAAAAGGUAAAAUUGAAAGGGAGUAAUUUUUUCAAAUUUUAUUCCUUAAAAAAUUUUGAAUGAGACUAGGAUUAGAUACCCUAUUAUUAUUAAAAAAAAGAAAAUUAGGUAGUAUUAGAAGACUUGAAACUUAAAGAAUUUGGCGGUGUCUUAAUCUUAUCAGAGGAACUUGUAUUAUAACUCGAAAUUACUCGUUCUAUCUUACUUAAAUUUAAUUUGUAUAUCGUCGUAAAAAUAAAAUUUUAAGGUAGAUAUUUUAGUUUAUUUAAUAAAAAAUUACAGAUCAAGGUUCAGUUAUGUUUAAGAAAAUAUGAGUUACAAUGUUAGAGAAAUAAAUGAAUAAUACUUUGAAAAAAGCAUUUGAAGGUGGAUUUGAAAGUAAAUUAAAAUAAAAAGUU